UAGACAGGUUUUGAAUAUCUAUAAUGGC
rnacentral:piRNA from 1 species